rnacentral:rRNA from 1 species
GACGAACGCUGGCGGCGUGCUUAACACAUGCAAGUCGAACGGAAAGGCCCUGCUUUUGUGGGGUGCUCGAGUGGCGAACGGGUGAGUAACACGUGAGUGACCUGCCCUUGACUUUGGGAUAACUUCAGGAAACUGGGGCUAAUACCGGAUAGGAGCUCCUGCUGCAUGGUGGGGGUUGGAAAGUUUCGGCGGUUGGGGAUGGACUCGCGGCUUAUCAGCUUGUUGGUGGGGUAGUGGCUUACCAAGGCUUUGACGGGUAGCCGGCCUGAGAGGGUGACCGGCCACAUUGGGACUGAGAUACGGCCCAGACUCCUACGGGAGGCAGCAGUGGGGAAUAUUGCACAAUGGGCGGAAGCCUGAUGCAGCAACGCCGCGUGCGGGAUGACGGCCUUCGGGUUGUAAACCGCUUUCGCCUGUGACGAAGCGUGAGUGACGGGAAUGGGUAAAGAAGCACCGGCUAACUACG